UCUGCUCCUGGUUCUUCAACAGCGUCAGCAUGAAGAACGAGGACCUGAUCAGCAAGUGUGGGGACGACGCACGCAUCUACAUAACGUUCCAGUACCAUCUCAUCAUCUUCGUGUUCAUCAUCUGCAUCCCCUCCCUGGGCGUCAUCCUGCCCCUCAACUACAUGGGGACUGUUCUGGAAUCGAGGAGUCACUUUGGUCGGACCACCAUUGCCAAUGUCUCCACAGAGGGUAAGCUCCUGUGGCUGCACAGCUUCCUGUCCGUCCUGUUCUUCAUCGUCAACUUCUUCUUCAUGGCUCAUCACAGCUUGGGGUUCGUGCCCAAGAAGAGCCAGAAGGUCUCAAGGACACUGAUGAUCACCUAUGUGCCCACGGACAUCGAAGACCCAGAAAUUAUCAUCAAGCAUUUUCAUGAGGCCUAUCCCGGGUGCGUCGUGACCAGGGUCCAUUUCUGCUACGACGUCCGGACCCUUAUUGACUUGGACGACCAGAGACGCCACGCCAUGCGGGGCCGGCUCUUCUACACAGCCAUGGCCAAGAAGACCGGGAAGGUGAUGAUCCGGAUCCACCCCUGCUCCCGCCUGUGCUUCUGCAAGUGCUGGACCUGCUUCAGGGAGGUAGACGCGGAGCAGUAUUACAGUGAGCUGGAGGAGCAGCUGACGGACGAGUUCAACGCCGAGCUCAACCGCGUCCCGCUGAAGCGGCUGGACCUGGUGUUUGUCACCUUCCAGGACUCGAGGAUGGUGAAGCGCAUCCGGGAGGAUUACAAGUUCAUCCAGUGCGGUGUGCACCCCCAGCAGUCCUCGGUGACCACCACUGUCAAAUCCUAUCACUGGAGGGUCGCUCCGGCCCCACACCCCAAAGACAUCAUUUGGCAGCACCUGUCUGUCCGCCGAUUCUUAUGGUGGGCUCGCUUCUUGGCGAUCAACAUCUUCCUCUUCUUCCUCUUCUUCUUCCUCACCACGCCCGCCAUCAUCAUCAACACCAUCGACAUGUACAACGUCACCCGCCCCCUCGAGAAGCUGCAGAGCCCGAUCGUGACCCAGUUCUUCCCCUCCCUGAUGCUCUGGGCUUUUACAGUGAUCCUGCCUCUGAUUGUCUACCUCUCCGCCUUCCUCGAGGCCCACUGGACCAGGUCCAGUCAGAAUCUGAUCAUAGUGCACAAGUGCUACGUCUUUCUGGUGUUCAUGGUGGUCAUUUUGCCCUCGAUGGGACUGACCAGUUUGGAUGUCUUUUUCCGCUGGCUCUUUGACAUCUACUAUCUGGAGCAGGCAUCCAUCCGGUUCCAGUGUGUGUUCCUGCCGGACAAUGGUGCCUUCUUCGUCAGCUACGUGAUCACGGCGUCCCUGCUCGGCACCGGCAUGGAGCUGCUGCGCCUGGGGUCCCUCUUCUGUUACAGCAUCCGCCUCUUCUUCUCCCGCUCGGAGCCCGAGCGAGCCCACAUCAGAAAGAACCAGGCCACGGACUUCCAGUAUGGGCGAGAGUAUGCCUGGAUGAUGAACGUGUUCAGUGUGGUGAUGGCCUACAGCAUCACCUGUCCCAUUAUCGUCCCCUUUGGGCUGCUGUACCUAUGCAUGAAACACCUGACAGAUCGCUACAAUAUGUACUAUUCCUACGCCCCCACCAAGCUGAACGAGCAGAUCCACAUGGCGGCUGUCUUCCAGGCCACCUUCGCCCCGCUGCUGGGUCUCUUCUGGAUGCUCUUCUUUUCCAUCCUGCGCUUAGGUGGGUCCCUUCCACAACAUCACCAUCUUCUCCCUGUCCACCCUCCUCAUUUCCAUCAUAAUUGCCAUCUUUGGCAUUUUUCUGAGGAAGCUUUGGAUGGUCUCCGACUACAAGCCUGAGGAAGACGAGAUCCAGACGGUGUUUGACAUGGAGCCAAGCAGCACGACCUCCACACCCACCUCCCUCCUGUAUGUGGCCACCGUGCUGCAGGAGCCAGAGUUGAACCUGACCCCAGCCUCCUCCCCAGCCAGGCACACCUAUGGCACCAUGAACAGCCAGCCGGAAGAGGGGGAAGAGGAGAGUGGUCUGAGGGGCUUUGCGGGGGAGAUGGACUCGGCCCAGUUCCAGGAAGGACUGGAACUGGAGGGCCAGAACCAGUACCACUGACUGGGACCCAAGGUCUCUGCUGGCCACUCGUCGGGGGCUUGGGGAGGACCCAGCAGGGGGAGGCAGGAGGGUGGCCUGGACCCCCUACUACCUCCUGCAGACUUUGGAAAAUUCCCCUGGAAACACCUGCCACGCCAGCCCUGGACCACGUGGAGACCCCACCCUGCUGAGCAGCUGGACCUGGAGGUGCUAGGCAGUACCGAGGGGCCCGAGUGGGAUGGAGGACACAGGCAAGCACCGCGUCGUGGACACAGAGACUGGAGGCCGGGGCACCUUCCUGGGGUCAAGAUGGAGAAGACACAUGCACGGGAGGAGGCAGGAAGAAUCCUGCCAAAGCUCUCCAGGGUCUUCACCGCCCAGCACCAGCUGCCCUUCCAAGGAGCUCCUGCUGCUGCCUCUCCCCGCCCGGCCCUGCAGUCUGAGGCCACAAAGGCAUGUGACUGGGCCUCGAGACAGGACACAGAUGGCCAUCUCACCACAGGGCCCAUGUGUGGGGCUCUGGAAAGAGAAGGCGUCUGCCCUCACCCAAGCAAGGGCCGCUGAGACUGGAGACCCGAAAAGAGGUGACUGAGCCCUUCCUGUUCCUCUGGCCUUGUCAAUGUCCCCAGGAGCAGCGGGCAGGCCCUCCUCCUCUCUAUUCAUACAAAGGUCUUGGGGCCUGGUUGCCUGGGGCUCAUUAAACAGACCCGAGUGCA